AACGCUUUCACGUAUUCGCAUUCUUUCCCACGCGUAAUCGCGUGCAAAUAAAAUAAGAGAGGGGGGAGGGAGAAGGAGAAAGGAAUUAUACGGUGUAAUUAGAAAUAAUAGCUGUACGGAACGAUUAAAACACGCUCGAGGCGGCGCUCAAAGUCCCAGUUAGGAAACAAGGCGGAAAGCCAAGAGGCGAGACAAUUUAGAAUGGAAGGUGGAAACAAUCGCUGAAACGGGCGCCAACUCGAAUCGACGACGAAUCCUCCCAUCUGUGCUGCGGUAAGGAGGCUGGGCUGAUCCCCGAACAAGGGGGGACAUACCGACGUGCUCUCCUCCUCGCCGCUCUCCCUGCGACCGCCCAGGAGCGGGAAAAGAAGAGGGGAAGAGGGAAAGAUGACGCUCGACGCGGGAAGAGGAACCACGGCGCUCGGUGAAACGAACGACGGGACCACCCUCGGGGGAAACGAGUUGGCUCACACCGUCAGAUAACUUUCGAUCUUCCCCUUCUCGCUCCCUCUCUCCCCUUCCCCUACCCUUUCUCCAAAAAAAGAAAGAAAGAAAGA